rnacentral:rRNA from 1 species
GACGAACGCUGGCGGCGUGCUUAACACAUGCAAGUCGAACGGUGAAGCGCCUUCCUUUUUGGUGGGUGUGGAUGAGUGGCGAACGGGUGAGUAACAGGUGAGUAACCUUCCCCCUUCUUCUGGCUAGCCGCAUGAAAGUGUGGCUAAGACGGGAUAUUCUGCGUCUGUCGCAUGAUGGGUCUGGGUAGGAUAUUGGUUCGGUUGGGGAUGGGCUCGCGGCCUAUCAGCUUGUUGGUGGGGUGAUGGCCUACCAAGGCGGGGACGGGUAGCCGGCCUGAGAGGGUGGGAGGCCAGGCCCAGACUGGGACGAGACGCAGCCGUGGGGAAUAUGGAACAAUGGGGGAUAGUGUAAUGCAGGGAGGCCGCGUGAGGGAUGGAGGCGUGCGGGGUGUGAACCUCUUUCGCUAGUGAAGCAGUCCUGCCUGGUUUGUGGGGGGAUUGACGGUAGCUGGAUAAGAAGCGCCGGCUAACUACGUG